UACUAUUUAUACUAUAUUAUUGGUAAUACUGUAAGAAUUUAUCCGGCACAAAAAAAAAUCACAGCGAAAAUUAAAAUUGUAUUUUCGAAAAACAAAAAUCCAUAUCACAUAUGAAUCAAAACAAAAACAAAUCAAUCGAGUGCCGGCGGAUCAUUCUCAUGUUACAAUGUAAAAUAAUAAUCUAACCUAAAUAGAUUUGAAGUUCGGGCUACAUCACCACGAACUAGCUAAGGUCUCUUGAUCUACUGCAUGGUUGAAACUGAAAUUCCGAUUUGCCGCGCACGUGCCCGGCCUCUACGCAUAUCCACACGGAAUUGAUGCAGAUCCAACGCCUUCCGUCGCACGGAACAGAUGAGUCGCAGAUUACAAAGAUGGUGCUAGCAGUCUUCUGAUAUCUACGUUCCCUUUUGUGAAAUUUACUGAUUUUCACGAAGGAUAAUAGAGAGAGAUGGAUAAUCUGAUACUUCGCAAGAGGCGAUCAUUAAAUCCCUCACGUAAAGUUAUUAUAUAUAUCUCCUCACGUAGUCAUUUUCAUAACUCACCUUAUGUACAUCUCACGAUCUGUUGCAACUAAUUAGAUCCCACGAUCUAAUUAAAGCCGUACAAACCGGCACAUCCCACUACCUGUU
rnacentral:lncRNA from 1 species